UACGUAGGGCGCAAGCGUUAUCCGGAAUUAUUGGGCGUAAAGAGCUCGUAGGCGGUUUGUCGCGUCUGCUGUGAAAUCUGGGGGCUCAACCCCCAGCCUGCAGUGGGUACGGGCAGACUAGAGUGCGGUAGGGGAGAUUGGAACUCCUGGUGUAGCGGUGGAAUGCGCAGAUAUCAGGAAGAACACCGAUGGCGAAGGCAGAUCUCUGGGCCGUAACUGACGCUGAGGAGCGAAAGCAUGGGGAGCGAACAGG
rnacentral:rRNA from 1 species